rnacentral:rRNA from 1 species
AAGCGACCUAAAGGAACGUUUAAGACGAAGACGUUGAUAGGCUGGGUGUGUAAGCGUAGCGAUACGUUGAGCUAACCAGUACUAAUGAACCGUGAGGCUUAACCUG